rnacentral:tRNA from 1 species
AAUAAAGUGCCUGAUUAAAGGAUUAUUCUGAUAGGAUAAAUAAAGUAGAAUUUCCUACCUUUAUUA